rnacentral:rRNA from 3 species
GGUCGGGAACUCAAAGGAGACUGCCAGUGAUAAACUGGAGGAAGGUGGGGAUGACGUCAAGUCAUCAUGGCCCUUACGACCAGGGCUACACACGUGCUACAAUGGCGCAUACAAAGAGAAGCGACCUCGCGAGAGCAAGCGGACCUCAUAAAGUGCGUCGUAGUCCGGAUUGGAGUCUGCAACUCGACUCCAUGAAGUCGGAAUCGCUAGUAAUCGUGGAUCAGAAUGCCACGGUGAAUACGUUCCCGGGCCUUGUACACACCGCCCGUCACACCAUGGGAGUGGGUUGCAAAAGAAGUAGGUAGCUUAACCUUCGGGAGGGCGCUUACCACUUUGUGAUUCAUGACUGGGGUGAAGUCGUAACAAGGUAACCGUAGGGGAACCUGCGGUUGGA